AUUGAACGCUGGCGGUAUGCUUAACAUAUGCAAGUCGAACGGCAGCACGGUAUGUAGCAAUACAUAUGGGUGGCAAGUGGCGGACGGGUGAGUAACGCGUAGGAAUCUGCCCUCAAGCGGGGGACAACCCGAGGAAACUCGGGCUAAUACCGCAUAAACUCGGAAGAGAAAAGCUGGGGUAACCUGGCACUUGAGGAGGAGCCUGCGUCUGAUUAGCUAGUUGGUAGGGUAAAGGCCUACCAAGGCGAUGAUCAGUAGCUGGUCUGAGAGGAUGACCAGCCACACUGGAACUGAGACACGGUCCAGACUACUACGGGAGGCAGCAGUGGGGAAUAUUGGACAAUGGGGGAAACCCUGAUCCAGCAAUACCGCGUGUGAAGAAGGCCUUCGGGUUGUAAAGCACUUUAGUUGGGGAGGAAGGUUAGCAGUUUAAGAGAUGGCUAAUUUGACUGUACCCAAAGAAUAAGCACCGGCUAACUCUGUGCCAGCAGCCGCAGUAA
rnacentral:rRNA from 1 species